AGUCUCUCUCUCUCUCUCUCACACACACACAAACAAUCCCAGCUGGCUCUCCGGGUGAGCGUAGAAAGCGAAGAAUCAAAGCCCUGGCAUUGCCACUGCUUAAGCCUUGUCGUUUCCCCAUUGAUCGUAGUCUUUUUCCCCUCACGGGGGUUGUGGGCUUUUGGAUUCUACCCCCCCCCCCUCUGUCCUCCAUUCUCUCUUCCUCGCUCCCCCUCCUCUCUCGCUCGCACUCCCCUUCUCCAUCAAGACAUUCAAGCUUCCAGAAGACGUUGAGAAAUUUCACUCCGAGCCGAGGAGGAGGAGGAGGAAGAAGAAGAGGUGGUGGUGGCGGCGGCAGGAGCAACAGCAGCGGGGGUUUGCUCCACAGAGCCCAGCUUCUUGGAUGCUGGCUUUUCAGAGCCGGGAGGAUUAUUAUACAAGGCAGGAAUCGCCAAGGGGUCCCCGAAGCCCAAAGAUAAGACCGAAGGGAGCGUCCUUGAAUCUUCCCCGCUGAAAGCGGCCGCGCUUUGUGGAAGCCCCCAGAUUUCUGGAGAAAGACAAGCGAGGGGGGCUCGCACGGCACCAUGGCAUCGACGGAAGGUGCCAACAAUAUGCCAAAGCAGGUAGAAGUACGAAUGCAUGAAAGCCAUAUGAGUCCAGUGGAACAUCAACCGAAGAACCUCUGUGUACGACUCUGCCUUUCACUCAGAAAAAAUAUGCUCCUUUCACUUACUGUAUUUGGUGUCAUAAUGGGAGCCUUAUGUGGAAUGCUCCUUCGCAUGGCAGCUCCUAUUAAUCCUGAUGUCGUCAUGUUGAUAGCCUUCCCCGGGGAUAUUUUGAUGCGGAUGUUGAAAAUGUUGAUCCUCCCUUUAAUUAUCUCAAGUCUAAUCACAGGGCUGUCAGGACUAGAUGCUAAGGCCAGUGGUCGAUUAGGGACGAGAGCUAUGGUAUAUUAUAUGUCCACAACAAUUAUUGCUGCUAUCCUGGGAGUGAUCUUGGUGUUAGCCAUUCAUCCUGGCAAUCCAAAACUCAAGAAGCAGCUGGGAGAAGGAAAGAAGAAUGACGAAGUAUCCAGUCUUGAUGCUUUCUUGGACCUUAUUCGAAAUUUGUUCCCUGAAAAUCUUGUGCAAGCAUGUUUUCAACAGAUUCAAACAGUUACCAAAAAAGUCCUCAUGCCGCAAGAAAUGGAAGAACCAUCUAAUGUUACAGAUUCCAUCUUUACCAUCGUGAAUGAAACAGAAGUUACUCCAGAGCCUCAAUUAAUUGUUAAGAAGGGUCUUGAGUUUAAGGAUGGAAUGAAUGUCUUAGGCCUCAUCGGGUUUUUCAUUGCUUUUGGUAUCACAAUGGGCAAGAUGGGAGAACAAGCCAAGAUGAUGGUGGAUUUCUUCAAUAUCUUGAAUGAGAUCGUAAUGAAAUUAGUAAUUAUGAUAAUGUGGUAUUCUCCAUUGGGCAUUGCGUGCCUCAUUUGUGGAAAAAUCAUUGCAAUCAAGGAUUUGGAAGUAGUUGCUCGACAGCUUGGCAUGUACAUGGUAACCGUGAUUGUAGGUCUUCUCAUCCAUGGAGGCAUUUUUUUGCCUCUGUUGUAUUUUGUAAUUACGAGAAAAAAUCCCUUCUCAUUUUUUGCUGGGAUCUUUCAAGCAUGGAUCACUGCUCUAGGCACAGCUUCAAGUGCUGGUACCUUGCCUGUUACUUUUCGCUGCCUUGAAGAAAAUUUGGGCAUUGAUAAGCGUGUGACAAGGUUUGUCUUGCCUGUUGGAGCCACGAUUAAUAUGGAUGGAACUGCCCUUUAUGAAGCAGUGGCUGCCAUCUUCAUAGCACAGAUGAAUGGCAUUAUUUUGGAUGCCGGACAGAUAGUCACUGUCAGUUUGACAGCCACUCUUGCCAGUGUUGGAGCUGCAAGUAUACCUAGUGCGGGACUGGUGACCAUGCUUCUUAUCCUCACUGCAGUAGGACUUCCCACCCAGGAUAUAAGCUUACUUGUGGCGGUAGAUUGGCUCUUAGAUCGAAUGAGAACAUCUGUCAAUGUAGUAGGAGACUCGUUUGGAGCUGGCAUUGUUUAUCAUCUAUCCAAGGCAGAACUGGAAAACAUUGAUGCCCAUCACAAGAUACAUGAAGAUAUUGAAAUGACCAAGACUCAGUCAAUUUAUGAUGAUCUGAAAACUCACAGGGAAAACAACUCAAACCAAUGCGUUUACACAGCUCACAACUCUGUCAUAAUAGAUGAAUGCAAGGUACCUUUCACAUUUAUGGAUAUUGAGACUUGCAUCUAGCAAGUCACAGUACAAACUUUUUCUUAAAAAAUAAUAAAUUAUCUUUUUUUAAAAAAAAAUGUAAUAAUGAGACAACUGGCACCCAUUAAAAAUGUUCAAUAUGUGUAUAUUUGCUUUUAAUUUUGUUUAAUUUAUUGCCAUUUUGUUUAAACUGAAAGAUGCAUGUAAUGUUUGCAACCAAGAGCAUGUUUCACUAUGUGUUAUGGAAAGCAGCACCAUGCUGAAAGAAUAUGGCUUCAUUUUCUAUUUCAAUAUUCAUUUGAUUUUUAAAAAGCACUUUGAUUUAAUUGAUAUGAAAUAAUGAAUUUGUUGCAAAUUAUGAUUCCUUCCAAAAAAUAUUUGUUUUUCGGCUUCAAAAUUUAUUUAUUUGUAGAAUUUAUAAUUUAUAACCCAUCUUAACCCAAUGAAUCUGAGUACUUAACAAUACACAGCCAUAAAACAUCACAAAACAAAUUUUAAAAUACCAUACCAUACAUACAAUGCAAUAAACAACGGAAUUAACUGAAAAAAAUGAUUUAAGAAGUUGUAUGAUGAUUAAUGUGAAAGACAGUUAACUGUUGAGAAAUAAUGAGCCUCAAGCAAAAUGUAAAGCCAAUAUUAUUUUAGAUUAAUGCUUUCCAUAUUACACCAUACAGGCACAUGUGUUGGACUUCUUAUUAUGUGGAAACUCACUAAUCCAGGCAUGUUUGUUCUUGCUUUCAGAGUUAUUUUUGGUCAUCAUUACCAUGUCAAUUUUGUGGUUUAUGUUUGAUCCUGUCAGUAAUAACAUGAGUUAAAAGAAAGCUAUAACAAGAAUUAUCCUGACCAAGAUUGAACUGAGUUUCAAGAAACCAUAGGGUCUCAAAGAUUCUUGGAAUAAUUCUUAUAUCUUAUUUUAUUAAUCACAAUUUGAGAUGGCAAUUGAAUCUGGUAAAAUAUUAGAGAAUAUGAACUAAGUUUUGUUUGCAACAAGCUAGCUUUAAAACAUAGAUUCCAAACUGUCUUUUUCUCAAUCCCAAGUAAUUAGGAUUAGUUACUUAGGAUCAGAUGAAACAAUAAAUUGUGAGCAGUGAAAAAUGGAAGAGAAUGCUUCCAGUCACGGUGGGAAGAAAGAGGGAAGUCGGUGAAUAAAUUAGUAAUUUCCUUAGAUUGUUCAAAGCACAAUAAAGCAGAGUUGUCACUACUAACAACUCAAGGUUUGACUGGAGAACUGAAUUCAGUGUUUUCUUUAGAGGGUCUACAGCUUCAUCUUUAUAUAUUUAUGCUGAUAAUAGCUGAUUCUGUUAUUAAUAUCUUAUCAGCCAUAGAUGUCGACGACUAACCAAAAUGAUGUGAAAAUGGCAAAAUGUGCAUUAUGAAAUCACAAUGCAAACUAUGUACUGUCAUACUUGUACCCUAAUGGUAGAGACAACUAUUCUAUGUAACUCACAUAGUUUGAGUUGUGAUGACCCAAAGCAGAUUUUGCCUUUCCCCCCAUCCAAGCUGACAUAUAACCAUGGUUUUAAUUACAUAAUCAUUAAGUUUUUUUAUCCACAUGGGUUAGUUUUCAGUUUCAAAGCUGAGUUGGACGGAAUGGCCGCAGAAGGCUUUGUGUCAUAUUAAGUUUCUAAAACUUCAUCAUUUAAACACAAUAAAAAGAUGCUUCAAUCCAAAAACAUUUUCAAUCCAAAAAUUUAUUAUGAUCAGAAGAUUUUAUCCAUAUUAAUUUCCAUGACAGAAAAAUUAUGACAGCGCUAUUAUUUGGUUCUCAGUUUAAGCAGAAUUUUCUCAGGUAUAGGCAUUAAACUACUUCUUCUAUAAAAUAUUAUUAGUUAUGGAUAUAAAGGAACACUACUACAUCAAAAUUAAUCAGUUUUAACUUUCAGUCAUUCAGACAGUGGAGCACACAUUUAAGAUGUUCAUGUUGAAAUGAAUGGGAUACAAAUAUGAUAAAAUGUUUAACUGUAUCAUCAUAAAAGUUAGGAAAUAGGACUAAAAUGAGUGCGUGAAUUUGAAAAUUUGUAACAGGAUCCAAGUUUAUUAUUUGGUCAGCAGUUUUUGUUAUUGAUGCUUGACUUACUAAUACAAUUAUUUGUUGUCUUGGCUUUUUAAUAUUUAACUGGUUCCUAUUUUGGUAGUGCGGUAUGACUAAUAUAAGUUUAUUGACAAGCAAUAUUGGCUUAUGAGUUGCAUGACAGUUUUUUCCUUGUAUUUUAUUUAUUGUCACAUUUUAUAUUUCUUUCUGACCUUACCUACAAUUUCAACUUCAAAUAUGAAGUGAACUUUGUUUUUAAUGCAUGUAUUUCCCUCUUUGUAAUCAGAAGGAAGGGUUGCAACUGUUUCAAAUGUGAAUGCAUUCCUCAUGUUUUCAUGCUCAAUGCUUCUGUGCAUCUAAUUUGUCCAUCAUGUGGAAUAUUAAUCUUGUUUUGUAAGGUUCUUUUUUGAAGCUGAGGACCAGAACAUGGAAGGUAACCUUGGCAACCAAUGGCAAAUCUGCAGACUUCAAUGCUGUCGAAGAAGAACUUUGGAAACAUGAGAAAUAAGAUGGAAACCCUCCAGGUCCAUCUUGAAUAAGUCCCUGAAGUUGUCUUUUGGUAAAGCAGAUAUCAAGAUCCAAGAUUUUCCACUGUUUUUAUUUAGCAUAGAAAUGUGCUUACUUAAUGCUGUUAACUGAAACUUAGCAAUGGUCUUGUGAAGUCUUUGCUCUUUUGGUUUCUUGGCCAAAUAAUUCAUUUUAUUUUAUUAUUUGUUUGGAUGUAAGAGAAAUAUUUGGUUGGGUUUCCUCCUUCUGUUCAAAACAGAGAAAAUGUAGGCAUUUAAAGAAGAUUUUUAAAGGCACAAUAUAGCUGAUUUGCUUCAGGGACUAAAUAUUUAGCAUUAAGUAUAGUGUACAUCAUGCAGAAUCUCCCUCCUGCUGAAUAUGCGAAUCUGUAUCUUGGUGCAUACUGAAUACAGUGAGCAUGUAAUCUAAGACAUUAUUUCUUAAAUGCUUUUCAUGUGCUUUCCUUUGCAUAUGUUUUUUUCAGUUCCCUUUUCUUCGAGCUGUCUUAAAAUAAGUGAUCUACCUUAAAAAAAAAAAAAUCCAGUUCCGAACUCCAGUGAAUGCCAAUACAUUCAAAAUAACUAAGUAUUUUAAUGAUAAAUUCCUCAUCUCUCCAUUCUAGUUCUAUAAACAGUCAACCUUUUUGAGAUCAGAAGGCAGAAUACAGUUUUUACACAACUGAAUUGGAUACAUUUAUGAUUGUGGGUUCAUUUCCCUGUAAUCCCAGUGGAAUGUCCUUCCAGUAGGCAGAUUUGUGACACUGGAAUUAAAUAAAUGACAUGUUAGCACAGCUAACAAUCCACGCCAGGAAGUAUACAUACUGACCUGGGAAGAUAUUCAACAAUUAGCAGAAUCUUAAUAAAUCUAUAAAAGCAGAAAAUAGUCAUAUUUGUAUGGAUCCAGAAGCAUCAAGAAAUCAAGGAAUUCUAAUGCAGUAGUUUAUCAUACUAAAACUAACCCAGUGCCAAUUGCUCAGCAUAUACCCUUCUGCUCUCUCCAAUCAUAUCUUACUGCUUCUUCGUUGAGAUUUGAGAGUGCUUCUUUUUAGGGAAGAUAUCAUCUGCUAGUAAAUUCUCUUUUGUCAUUCCUUUUCCUAAGAAGAAAUAAGUUAUAUUUAGCAUGAGUCUAACAUCAGUUAGUUAUUUAAUCAGGGCUAAGAUAUUUUCCUGUAAGUACUAGAUAUCUUCCCACCCAAUCUGUUGAACCUUAAUUAUAUUAAGUAUAAUUAGUUUGGGCAAAUAUCAAUUCGCUUCUCUAGAAUAUUAAGUUUUAUUUGCUAUGGCAUUCAACGUGAUUAUUUCUUUGCCACAAUAUUGUAGAACGACAAAUACUGCAAAGUGAUGCCAAUCUAAUAUCUGAACGUCUUUUCAAGCUAGUGUUGUUCUCUUUAGAAAUAUGAAAAGAUCAGACAGAGCAAUGUUUCUUCUUUUUGUUCCAGUGUAUUAAAUAAUUGGCCCUGGUGAGAGCAGAGAUUUGGAUGUAACUCCCACAUCCACAUUCAUAUUUCUCUUUCUUUUACUUUUGGUAAACUCUGCAGGCAGUAUAAUUUAACUCAGAAAAACACAGGAUAUAAGGAAAUCACACCUCUCACAUCUCCUUUUCAAGUCAGGUCUGGCACAUCAUCUUUGCGUGCAUUAACAGGAAAAAAAGAGAACUCUUAAAUUUUACACAGAUGAGCACACUAUCCUUAUGAAGAAGAAGUGCAUUUGUGGCUAUCACAUGUUGGCGCCAUUUUUUUCAUGGGCAAUUCACACUGAAGCGCCUUUUAGGAUUUUCUUACUGUCCCUAAAAACCAAUAUGCUUGUGCUCAGUGUCACAUUAUAUUUUCCCUUCACUUUGAAGAAGCGAAGCACUGACCAUUAAUGGAAGCGUAGGUUCCUUUAUAUGGGGACAAUUUCUGAAAUGCUAAUUGAAAAUAAGUCAUGGGUUCCUUUCAAACCACACUGAGAAGGAAGCUCUCAAAUUAAAAUAAGAAGAAAUUGUAAUUUUUGCAAUUAGAGAUUUCUGAUAUUUACACAGGAAGGGGGAAAAAAGCCCUGUGUGGGAUUUGGGAAAACAUUUUUGGAUGUUUCAUAACUCAGGGAAUUUCUGGUUCUUAAAAACAAAGCCACAUUUUACUUACAAUCAGGGAUAUAAAUGGGGAGGGGUCAAAAAAGUCAAUUUGGCCUUGUAAUUAAAGCCCUACAUGUUUUUAUGUGCAUGGUUUACCAAAAAUAUAACAGGGAGAGGUGACCAUGCUCAGCAUUUGCUUCCUAAAUGAAUUCUAAUGCUCUGUAUUCUGCUGUGGUAACCAACAAAUUUAACCAUCCACAGUCUUUCCAUUUGACAGUACAAAACAGAACCUUAACAAUUAUCCCACCUUCUUUAUCCAGGGUAACUACUGUAGUUUCUGAAUUUCCAAAAAGAAAGAUGCAGAAGGAUUCUGCAAUGUUAGUUUAUAAGCCUUGCCCGUUUGUGUGAACAUGCUUUUCAUUUGCAAAUGCAAAAUAUAGUAACAAUUGCAUUCUAUAUUUUUUUUUAAUCAGUAGUCAAAGUUUUCCUCCAUAUUAAUGCCUCCAUUGUUGGUAACAUUCAUUAAUGAUUAAUAAUUAACUAUUAAUAUAAUACUUAAGCAUUUUUACAAUUUAAUCCCUGAUGUGCAAUAAUUUAUUUCUUGCCUGUGUAACCAAGACGUGUGAUAGCUACCUAGAGACUCAGCAAAAGAAACAAUUAGGAAUUUCAUCUGUAGGAAAACAAUUUUGCACCAGCACUUUGCACUUCAUUCAGAUCCAGUUUGUUAAUUUGCAUUAUAAACCCAGCCUUGCUUAUAAGCAAUUUCUUGAUUAGAUAGAAAGGGGUUUCUGAACAAGCAAAAUUCCAUUUAUUUGAUAUAGCAUUGGAAACCUGAGAAAUUCUGGCCACUUUGAAGAUAAAAUCUUCCCAUGGUCCCACUCUUGGUAUGGUUUGAUUCAUGGAGUUCAACAGAAUUUUCAUUUGUUUUCUCUGUGGUGCUAAUGCUCCCCACUUUUUAUAAACAGGCUUAAGUGUAUAUUCAUAAGACACCUGAAGUAAUUUACAGCAGUGCUAACAAAAAUAUAUAUAUAUAUAUAUUUGCGUACAUGAGAAAACAUUUGUUUUUAGCCCCCUUUUUUAUCAACAAAAUCUCUUUUUAGCAAGCUGAAUUGCCUUUUGUCUCACUUGUAGAUACUUGAUCAAAUCUCUAGAUACUCUUCAGCUUUUAAAAGUAUCUUUUAACAGUUAACAGGGGGAAUAUUUUUCACUUAUUUUUCACAUAUAUUUCUCUCAACAUUGCUCCAAAAGAUUAAUAUAAAAAUCUUUAUCAAACCCCAAAAAAACCUGGCUCUUGGGAUGUCAGGAAUUCUCUUUUACAUGCAUCCUCUUUACUUUUCAAAAUUUUAUCUCCUGCUUAGUGAGACUGAUUCUGUAAAGUCAGAGAAGAUGGACACUGCAACAUUGACAAAUCUGAAUUCAAACUAGUAAGAAUAUGUACCUUACAUCUAGGGUUGCAUUUUUUAUAUAUCUGUUGUUCCACCAAGCCUAAUGCUAAUUGGUGGUUAAUCUGUUCACAUAUUCACAUUCCUUUGAUUGUAUGUUUCUAAAUUGAGUUAAUAACUCCAUGAAAUUAUUCUUAAUCUGUAACAAGCUUUCAUACUUCGAUGCUCACAGAACUCUUCAUGAUAGGGAUUAUCCUACCGGUAUUACGUUUUAACUAAACAAAAUCAUACAUGCACUUGCUGUCUUUUUUACAGCAAUACUGAAGAAUUUGGCCCCAGAGACCCUAACAUUUGUUAACACUAACAGAAGAAAAUCUCAUACCAUAGAGUUUUACCCAAGAAAAUGUAGAAAAGGCAAUCACUGGUCAGAAUCAGAAUCAGAAUCAUUAGAAUCCUGAAGUUAUAUAUUAGAGAACUUGUAUGUUGUGGAUUUACAGAAUCCAGAUCUCUCUCAUUCUCUGAACAUUUAGGGUGGAAUAGAGAACCAAAUUAAAGAAAAAUGACCCAUGCCAGUACCCCAUUAACUAUGACGCCUGUAAAUGCCAUCCCAACAUCUAAAAAACAUGGCUUUUCCAUUUUUUAUUCCCUUUCCCCUCAUCCCCAAACAAUAGGAAAGUUUAUUACUGAACUCAUUUUUACCAACUUUAUCCACAUGUUUAAUAUUGCAAUUCACAGGCUGCUAGAGUAAUAUUUUAUUAAAAAUAAUUUUAAAAAUCAGAAGAACCGCAAUAUUUAGCUUUGUGGAAACUCCCAUCUUUUAAGAUGAGCUCUUUUGAAAAAAAGAAAGCUACUUGAAAUUAUAUUCAAUUUAUAGCACUGAUUGCCUCAAGCAAGGCCUAUAAAUCUUAUUUUAGAAUAUGCCAAUCUUUCACAUUAGAAAACAAUGUAACUUAAAUAUUUCUUCUGAAAAUUAUAUUUUAGUUUGCUAUAACUUUGACACCUUGUUUUCAGACCUAGUGGGGUGGGUUUAAUCACUGCUAUAGAUCUCAAUAUUCCAUUAUCUUUAUUUCAAAGCUGCUUCUUCAAUUUUCUGUUGACUACUUUAACAAAAUCUUCCUUUCUUCCUAAUGCAUGAAUGGUAAUUUAUGGAAUGCAUGAGGUGUAUUUCUACUUAUUCUAAUUUAGCCAUUUAUUCUUCUGCAACCAUGAUAUACACUGUAGAAUGAAUUAACUUAUUUCUGGCAUCUGUAAUUUACAGACAUUUGCAGAGGUUAUUUUCUUAUACCAGUUGCAGACAGUUAUUUUAUUAUACAACCAUAUAAGCAAGCAAGAAAAAAAUAAGCUAUAAUCCUUUUAAGGAAGAUUCUUUUGUAACGAACUCUGAUAAAUGAAAUUUGUGACUGGGUUCAUGCAACACAUUAAGCCAUUGUAUCAGUGGGUUGGUUUUGACCUAGCACAACAUACAAACUCAGCUCUUGUGGCUUGCAAACCAUGAUUUAUAGCUGAGCAUUAUAUAAAGCAGGCCACUACAGCUUGUUCCACAAACCAUGGUUAAAAUAAACUAUGACUUGUGUGACAUAUGAAACCAGCCACUGUUAUGUUAUGUUAAAUUAACAUAACUCUUUAAACUUUAUAACUUUAAGCAAAGCACAAAUGGAAGUUAAAGGUGUCUUUAUGCUACAGUUCAUUAUGGAACACUAUUACAGUAUUAAUAUAGAUUUGAGAUUGAGCCUUUUUUUUAUACUUAGCUUGUUUUUUUACCAGGAUAAUUCCAGAAUGUCUCUACCCUACAGAUAAAUAUUCUGAUUCAGAAUAUAUUUUGUUUUUAAUGUACUUACUUGCCAUUAUUUUCAAUGGAAUUAAUUUACAAAAUCCAUAUACUUUAGGAUUACAGUUUUUGAAGAAAAAAAAAACUAAUCUAUUUAUGCCCAGAGUCAGUAAGGCUCAAUUUGGUGUCCAAGAUUUGCAUCAAAUAGCAUUUCAUGAGUUUGGUAGGCCUUCCAUGGAAAUGAUGCAGACAGAAUGAAGUGUCUGCUUUUGUUUAUAUACCAAAUUCCCAGGUUACAUUUCUUCAGUAAUGUGACACACAUCUCAUCCCAUGCUGACAGAGAGAAAUGUUAUCUUCUCAAAAACAGUAUUAAGAUAUAGUAUUUGCCUAACAAUUGAAUGACAAAAGAUUACUGACACCAGGAAUUAUUUGUUUUAGCUACUAAUGAACUCUGUUGGUUCAAACUGUUCUAGAUUUUAGAUGCGUUUGGUUGAGAUAUACAAAGACAAAAAUGAAAGCUAUAUAAAUUCAAAAUGUGUAAGGAACUGCAGCAUUUGAUCUCACAUCUUUGCCUUUCUACAAAAGGACCAAACUACAUUCUUUAGGGGAUUAUGUCAACUGAAUAGCACAUAUAUAAAUACCUCCUGAUUUUUAAAACAUUUAUAAAAUAAAAAAGCAAGCAAUAUAUUUUUUCACCAUAAUGAUCGAAAUCUGUUUUUCUUCCUUUAUUAACAGUUAAUUACAAAAUACCUAUAUUGCUAAUGCCUUGUUAUUAUCCAAGCACAUUGAGAGAGCAAAUAAAUUUUUAAAACCCAAAUUAUAGUUUGAAUAUGAGUCAGACUCUGCCCCGUUUGGCAUACGGCUGCACAAAAUUGAAGAGGCAAAACCUACAGUAACAAUUGACUCUAUGAAACAGGUAUAUUUAACUUGUGCAACCUGUCAUGUAUGACCUCCAAAUGGAUAAAUAAACUGUACAGUAGGUAGGGGCAGUACAUUAUUGUGAUCUUAUUUUGUAAUACUCCUAUUUUAAAGCAGAGUUUUCAAAUAUUCUCGUAAUUAGAACUAAACACAAGUCGUAAAACGCUAGUAUUACCUAUCAAAGCAUGAUGCUCUUAUAAAGUUUUGAUGCGUUGUUUUCCGCAUGAAGAACAGUGCCUCCCCGCACUUUCUGUAGAUAAUGUAGUUUAUCUUGGUGUAAUUUCAGUGAAAUUGUGUAUACGGUAUUAAUAGUUGGUAUUUUAAUUUAAUUUAACUUCAACUCUGCUGGAAUAGAAAUUUAUAGUAAUAUGUUUGAAAAUAGAUUGGAUUAAGUUGGCUGGCUUUGGCUGCUAUAUUGGCAUUUCCAUUUCCAGAUGUUUAACAGCAAAAUUUCCAUAAUCUGCUACCCAUUGCUAUAUGGUGGUAUAAGCAGUAUAAUUGUGUUUAAAUAAUCGUUAUAACCCUUGUGUUCCAGCCAGGUUAUUGUAAAUAUGUUAGUACUUGUCUUUAUAUAUCUAAACAAGCAGCAUGCAUGUGAGUGUAUGUAUACCAAUCCCUGGCACUUAGUGAAUGUGAGUGACUGUCUGAUGUCGCACUGUGAUUGCAAUAGCACUGCUACUUUAAUGAGUAAAUAUAAGCACAGUAUUAUAUUGAGUUGAUUAUGUAUUUUUCUGUAUACAUGAUUGGAGAUAUAAAGAUAAUGUUAAUAAAUCGUUGCAACUAUCAACAUGUUGAUCCCUUGUAAAAAAAUAUAUCUUUUAUUUUGAAAGCUGUGUUUACCUUUUGAAACUGCAGUCUCAGCUUUUGCUUCUCAACCAGGACAUGGUGAUGGUCUAACCCCUCAAGAUUCCUCAAGUUUUCGUUUUUCACUUCUUCGCUGACCACAGUAACAAAUCCAAAAUUAAGGCAGUGUGAGAAAAGACAGACUUCUUUUUGAAGUGUAUUCUUUUACUUGUUCAUAUUCCAGUGUUAAUAGAUUAUGCGAAAAUAAAUGAUUGAGAUAAAAAUAUGGUAUAAAAUAUGCUAUCUUAGAGACUGUUAUUUGAAAAAAAGGAGUGUUUAUAUAAAGUUGAAAUCAGAUGAAGUCAAGAGAUUCAGGAAAAGGAGCAAAAGGUCCCCAAAUUUCAAUUAUGAACAUUUGGGGUGGACAAACACAUAAUUGAUCUCAUAUUAGUUAUAAAUCCCAGAACAAAGGUACUGCAAUGCAGUUGCAGUCAAGAUUCAUUUCAUGAAUCUUUACAUAUAAUACAAAAAAUUAAACAUAAUUUAUGAUAACCCUGAAUCAAAUUAAUUACUGCCUGUCUUAAAUUCUCUAGAGCAGUGUUCCUCAUCUCAGAAGCUUGAGAUGUAUGGACUUCAAUUUCUUGAAUUCCUGAUAAUGGUCACCAUGGCUGGGAGAUUAUGGGAGUUGAACGCCACAGAUCUUAAAGUUGCUAAGAUUGGCAAGCAAGACUGAAGAACUAGGUUAUAACUAUUCCUCUUUCUUAACAGAACAAGGAACAGUUUUCCAGUUGUAAACUGAAUCUAGUUAUUGCCCAAACAUAGUUAUAUUAUUUUGCUUCUGUAGGCCUUGAAUGCAUGGAUACCAUAUAAUUAUGCAUAGAAAGGGGAGAUCCACUCAAUUCCAAGCUCUGCAGAUAUAUUCAGCUAAGGAGAAUUAUUGUGGUUAUGGUCUCUUGAGAUCAUGGAUCUUGUGCACAGAUCUUAGACUGCAUUGUUGCUGGGUCACCCUACAUACAAAAGAAAGCACAAACUUGGCUUUGACUGUAAUUAAAAAUAUUCAUCUGAAAAAUGAAAUGGUGUAUUAUAUAAUAUCUAUGCCAUUUUGUGUAAAAUCUAAUACAUGGAAAUGCUAAAUCUUUCUAUUAAUGUUUACUUUUAUUUACUACAGUAGCAAUGACUUGUUUACUAAGCACUUUUCAUAGUUCUUAUCUCCUUUAUCUAUACCUUUAACAAUUCUUUUCUUUUCCUGUGUGAACUGAUUUCUGUAACUUGUAUAUAAAACAAAACUGGACAUUCUUUAUAUACUGGAAAUAAUCAGCAAAAACAAUAUUUCACUAAAUGUUGAAUUUUUUAUGUACAUAUCAUCAAUAAAUGUGAAUUCAUAAUUUUCAUGGAUAGAA